CUCUACUCCGCUGCCGUUCCUCCACCUCCGCCUGCCAUUCCUCCAUCUCCACAACGUAAAUCUAUUGUCCACAACAGGAAGUCUUCACCGUCGCGCUUCGCCUGCUACAGUGUGUGUGCGGUGGGGGGACUAUUUUGUUCAAGAUCAAGGCAUUGUUCUGCUGAAAACUUGGAAUGCUUAUUUUCUUUUGAGAAGUUCCGAUUCUGUUGCUUUUAGGAGGUAACUUGUGGCAGAAAUGCAUUGCCAUUUUAUGCUGCUGUGAGAUUGAGAAUGAUUAGAAAAGAACUGCUCAGUGCUAAUGACGAGGUAAUGAUUCCAAGUUACAAUUUGUUAACAUUUUGGCCUAAGGGUAAAUUCUUAAUCCCUUAAGUUUAAUA